GAUUUCUGGUACUGCGCGCCUCGGCGACGGUCGUCAGAUCGCCUGUCCGAGUCCGCGUGCAUGCCAUCCUGCUAGUAAACUAGACGCACUUAACUGGGCGGCUAGUGUUCUAGCUCAUUUACUUUGAAAAAAUUAGAGUGUUUAAAGCAGGUUUGCGCCUUGAAUACAUUAGCAUGGAAUAAUAAUUUAGGACUUCGGUUCUAUUUUGUUGGUUUCUAGGACUGAAGUAAUGAUUGAUAGGGAUAGUUGGGGGUGCUAGUAUUCAGCGGCCAGAGGUGAAAUUCUCGGAUUCGCUGAAGACUAACUUAUGCGAAAGCAUU
rnacentral:rRNA from 1 species